rnacentral:rRNA from 1 species
UACGGAGGGUGCAAGCGUUGUUCGGAAUCAUUGGGCGUAAAGCGCGUGUAGGCGGCCUGGUAAGUCGGGUGUGAAAUCCCGGGGCUCAACCCCGGAACUGCACUCGAAACUACCUCGCUAGAGUCUCGGAGAGGAAGGCGGAAUUCCCGGUGUAGAGGUGAAAUUCGUAGAUAUCGGGAGGAACACCAGCGGCGAAGGCGGCCUUCUGGACGGUGACUGACGCUGAGACGCGAAAGCGUGGGGAGCAAACAGG